rnacentral:lncRNA from 1 species
AAAAGCCCCGGAGAUGCUGCAGGAGGAGGAGCUGCAAACCCAGCCCAGGGAGCUGCGGGGAGGAAAGAGCCCCCCUGAGCCAGGAAGGCGGGCGGAGAUCCAGCCAGAGCUCGGAGCUGGUGGAGAAGUCUCAUGGCAGGGAGAAGCCCCACAAGUGCUUGGAAUGUGGGAAGGGUUUCAGUCGGAGUGGCAGCCUGAUCCGGCACCAGAGGAUCCACACUGGGGAGAGGCCCUACGAGUGUGGGGAGUGUGGGAAGAGGUUUCGGAACAGCUCCGAUCUCCUCGUACAUGAGCGGAGUCACACAGAGGAGAGGCCCUUCCGCUGCCCCGACUGCGGGAAGGGCUUCAACCGCAACUCCAACCUCACCGUGCACCGGCGCAUCCACACCGGGGAGAGGCCCUACGAGUGUGGAAAGUGUGGGAAGGGUUUCAGAGACAGGUCUGGCCUGAUUGAGCACCAGGUGAUCCACACUGGGGAACAGCCCUAUGAGUGCUUGGAAUGUGGGAAGAGCUUUGGGUGGAGCUCAGCCCUGAGAAUACACAAGCGCAUCCACACUGGGGAGAGGCCCUACGAGUGUCCCCAGUGUGGGAAGAGGUUUCAGACCAGCUCCAGUGUCCUCCUACAUGAGCGGAUUCACACAGAGGAGAGGCCCUUCCGCUGCCCCGACUGCGGGAAGGGCUUCAACCAAAACUCCAACCUCACCAGGCACCGGCGCAUCCACACCGGGGAGAGGCCCUACGAGUGUGGGGAGUGUGGGAAGAGCUUCUCCAGGAGCUCAAACUUGACCCAGCACCAACGGAGGCACCACUAAGGGAAGCCCUGUGUUCCCAUACCAGCUGGAGUCACUGUUGAAUGUGGUGGCCACCCUGGGUGAGGUGGCAGCCACCGUGACCGGGUCACAGAGGGACGAGCAGCAGCUCAUGUCCCCAGAGUCCUGCACGCGAACCUGAGGAACUUCACCUGGAGUCUCUGUGAAACCCUGGGCCACCGUGGUGUCCCCUCCCUGGGCCACCGUGGUGUCCCCUCCCUGGGCCAGGCCCUGGCCGCGCUUGGGGCCACCCCAGGGGCCACCUGGACUGAUGUGAGAGCUGCGGCCUGGCCUGGCAGGAGUUGGUGGUCAGGCUCGAGGACAGCUGGGCCCUGCUGGCCUGGGAUGCCACCGAGCUCCGCGACGCCUGCUGGGACGUGGCCAUCGCUGCCAUCCGGGCCGGGGACCUGCAGAACGUGGCCACCCGCAGGAGGACAGCUGGGAGCAGCCUGGGGGCCACAGCCCAGCGGCUGAAGGUGGCCCUGGGCAGGGAAAAGAGGGCCUCGGCAGGGACCACGCACAAGGCCCAGGUGGCUGCGGCCACCAACGAGGCCGUGGGAGAGGCCGUGGUGGCCAGCAGCCAAGCCAUGGUGGCCACCAGAAGGGGACAUUGGGCACAGGUGGCCCUGGGGCCGCUGGAGCGCUUGGUGGAAGAGUGUGAAGGAGGCAGGCAGUUCCCCGAGGAGCUGCAGCGCCGGCUCGGGGACAUCGAGGCCAUCCUGGAGGGGACAAAGAAGGCGUCCCCCGAUGUCCCUGAGGCCUUGGUGGCCGAAGUGGCUGAGUUUGGGCAGCUGUGGGAUGCCGGUGCCUGCCUGGGCAAGGAUCACCUGCUGAGGACACUUGGGGGCAUCCACGACCUCCUCUUGAGUCCCUGUGGUGGCUCCGGCGGCCCCGGUGGCCCCAGCAGGCGCGCACUGGCCCAGCGGUGCCAAAAAGCCAUGGAGGAUAUCCCCAGGCUGCUGCAGCGAUGGCACCGCUCUGAUGCCAUCAGGGACAGUGACAUCAUGGUGGACAGCGCUGGCGUCACCAUCCCCUCCUCACGCGGGAUUUGAGACCAAUUCGGGGAAUUUUCUGGGAAUUCUCAUCGGCAUUGUCCCACAUGCUGAUGGGAGUUUCUAGGAUGACGUUACUAGCCGCACCUGGGGACGUUCUGAGAGCACUCAGAAGGCUUUUGCAUUCCCCUGCUGCCUUUUGCAUUUUUCUGCUUUUUCUAUUGGGUUUGGCAUUUCUCUAUUGCCUUUUGCAGGUUCCUAUUGACCCCCAGCAUUUUGCUCAGGUGCUGAUACUGAUAUUGAUUAUUGAUAAUCCCUUGCAGCUGCUCGCUGGCACAUUAAAAUCUCAGAGUUUGCAUGGACAAGUCCAACGCAGUGUGAGCUUUCUGCCAGGAUUUGGGAAUCCUUUAUGGAUCCAAUUCUCACAUCCCUGGGCCCCCCCGGUCCCGGCGCUGUUCCCGGGGGUCCUGCGGCUCUGGGGGGUCAAAGGGGAGGGGGCGGAACCCCCGUGAUGGGUGGGGGGCACAAAGGGGGGUCCGGGCCCGGUGCUCGGGGGGGUCGGUGCGGGGAGGGGUCGGGGGCACUGAAGGGGUGUGGGUGCGGUUUUUGGGGGGUCCCGGUGCUCGGUGAGGGGGGGUCAGUGCUCAGCAGCGGGGGCUGUCCAGGGACCCCCCGGCCCCCCAAAUCCCAGCCGGGUGUGAAAAACGAAGUUCACUAAGGGAUUACUAAACAAAGUUUAAUCAGGGAUAAAAAAGGGUUUUGGGGCUCGGCCAAAGAACUUGCCCUCAACUUAACCCUUCGUUCUCCGGAUCCGGUUCAACUGCAGGGCCACGAACACACUCCUGAGGUUUGACAUUAUUCAAACACUCCCGGGAGGUUUGGAUAUCCCAGGAACUCGUGUUUGGGUCUCACCUCUGACUUGUCUGCAGGACAUUCUGUAGAUUAAGUAGAUAUAUUUGAUUUCUUCUCAUGGUUCCACCCUGUUGUUUCAGACCCCCUGAAAAAUUCAUAAAUUCUUCUGAGCUUUGUGUCACUGGUAUCACCUGGUGAGGCUGGUCCGCAGAUGUAAGAAACAACGGAAUUGUUUUACACCUGAGUCAGUCACACAAAAGCAUUUUAACAUUGCAUAGGCUCUAUCUCAGUAUUUAUUAUUGAUCUGUUUAAUGUUUAUCUAUUUUUAAUAUAUUAAGGCCUAUGAUAUAAUAUCUAUUUAUUACUCUAGCAGUAAAUUUAUUAUACCGUGCACACAUAAACAGAUCGAUUUUAUUGUACCAGUGAGCAGCUGCAAGGAAUUAUCAGUGAUCAAUAUCAAGUACCACAGCAAAAUCUUUGUGAUCAAUAACAACGUGCAGAAGGCAAUACAGAAUUUCAAAAGCUGAUUAUUCUAUUGUCAUUUAUAACCUGGCUCUGCUGCAAGGCACCGAGGGGGCUCAUUCAG